ensembl:lncRNA
UUGGGGGUUCGAAGAGGAUUUUCUCACAGGCUGCGGGGAUUGGGGAAUGGGGCAUCCCCAAAUUGCUGCUGGUGGGGGGCCGGGGGGCACACAGGGCUGCAGGGAAAGGGGGACCACGGAGGAGAAGGGGAGGAAUGGGGGUUUUAUUCCACCCUUCCUGGGGGGUUUUGCAGCUUGCUGCUCCUCAGGGACCCCACAGCUCCCACUGCUCCCUAUCGUAUCCUAUAACCACGGGCUGAGGCACUUCUGCUCCGUGCUGUGCCCUAUGGGGACAUGGGGCGACGGCGCUGCUGCUCUUUGCAGCAUCCUCUGGACUGAACAGCUGGACUCCCAAAACCUACAACCAGAACCUAAAACUCUCCCAUUCUACAUUCCCCACCCCCCCGUUCUCCUGCCUUCAUCCCACCGUCAUGCCUGUGUCCCCAUGGGGAGAUGACAACCACGGGGAUACACGGGGAUGUCCCAGUCCCAGUGAGUGAUGGAGGCGCUGCCAUCUGUCUGUCCAUCCUUGUAGGGGGUAUUGUGGGGAGGGAUGGCAGCACUGAGGUGAUGCUCUCUAUAGUAUGGGGUUUAGGGGUGGGUUUGUUCAUGUGAGGGCUCUCUGUCCUUAAAGGUCCUCUGUGUCAGAAGUACCCGAGCGUGGUCUCAUCCUUCACCUGGGGAUGGGGACAGGGUGAGGAUGGGGACAUUGAGGUGGGGACAUCAUGGUGAGGGGCAAGAUGUUUGGAUAGGGGGGCUGGGAUGAAGAUGGGGACGUUGGGGUGAGGGUGAGGACAUCAGAGUGAGGACACCGGGGUGAGGACAAAGAUGUUGGGAUGGGGACAUCGGGAUGAAGAUGGAGACGUUGGGAUGAAGAUGGGGAUAUUGGGAUGAGGAUGGGGAUAUUGGGAUGAGGAUGGGGAUGUUGGGAUGAGGAUGAGGACAUUGGGGUGAGGAUGAAGACAUUGGGAUGGGGACAUUGGAACGAAGAGGGGGACAUCGGGAUGGGGACGUCAGAGUGAAAAUGGGGAUGUCAGAAAAAGGACAUAGGGACAGGGAUGACUUUGGGGCAGGAACAUUAGAAUGAAGAUGGAGACAUCAGAGCAGGGAUGUUGGAGUGAGGAUGGGGACAUGGAGGUGAAAAUGGGGACGUAUGACAGGGACAUCAGUGUGAGAAUGGGAAUAUCGGGAUGGGGACACUAAGGUGAGGAUGGGGACAUUGGGAUAGGGACAUUGGGGUGAGGAUGGGAACACUGAGGUGAGGAUGGGGACAUUGGAUGGGGACAUUGGGUGAGGAUGAGGACACUGGGAUGAGGAUGAGACAUUGGGGUGGGAAUGGGGACAUUGGAUGGGGACAUCGGGUGAGGAUGGAGACAUUGGGAUGAGGCUGGGGACACUGGGGUGAGGAUGGAGACAUUGGGAUGAGGAUGGAGACAUUGGGGUGGGAAUGGGGACAUUGGAUGGGGACAUCGGGUGAGGAUGGAGACAUUGGGAUGAGGAUGGGGACAUUGGAUGGACACAAUGGGACCCCAGUAAACAGUGGGGUGCAGCACCCCGGGGUGCCCCUACAGAGACCCCACAGAGGGCGAAAGAAAUCCCACCUUUCCCAGCUCUCUCUGCAGUGCCUCCCAUGCCAGGAUUUUACUUUUUUCCACCAGAACCCCUUAUGGGGGGGUGCACAUCUCCCCUCCC